UUAACUCAAUUUUGUAUGGAGUUGGAACAUUUGCAUACGUUUGCCGCUAGGGGCGCUGUUCCAACUGCAUCAUUUUUUUAAUA
rnacentral:pre_miRNA from 1 species